GAAACUUCAAGUUCCCUAAUUAUUUAUGAUAUUGAUUGAAUCAUUGUUCUUAUGAUAAUAAUGAAACAUAUAACUUUUUAAUCCAUCUAUUAUAUUUUUGCUUCCACUUAUCACAUUUUGCUUCCGCACUUUUAACUCUGAUUUUAUAAAAGAUUUUUUUUUAAAUUUAGUUCUAAAAGGGACAGAUUUAUUCAACCCCUUUCUAGACCUUCUUAUCUCUGUAUUCUCGCCAAUAUGUUGUUAUCCAUCUUCUUCCUCAAAACCAAAAAAUAAAAAAAGCCUUGGAUUUUUUUCAACCAGAAUAAGAAAUUUCUUUAAAAAGUAUAAGAAUAAAAUAUUGGAUUUUUAUGCCUAAAUCUUGAUUGCUAAACAGAAACAAGAAUUGGGAAGAUGUGUCAAUCCAAAAGCCCUGAAGCAUAAACAAUUAUGACAAC
rnacentral:lncRNA from 1 species